rnacentral:tRNA from 1 species
GGGGGCGUAGUUUAACGGUAGAACAAUGGUCUCCAAAACCAUUGGCGAGGGUUCGACUCCUUCCGCCCCUG